rnacentral:lncRNA from 1 species
UUUUUUUUUUUUUUGUCUUUUUAGGGCUGCACCCACAGCAUAUGGAGGUUUCCAGGCUAGGGAUCCAAUUGGAGCUGUAGCCGCUGGCCACAACAAAGCCACAGCAGCUUGGGAUCCAAGCCACGUCUGCAACCUACACCAUGGCUCACGGCAAUGCCAGAUCCUUAACUCACUGAGAGAGGCCAGGGAUCGAACCCGUGUCCUCAUGGAUGCUAGUCAGGUUCAUUAACUGCCGAGCCAUGACAGGAACUCCUGAAAUAAUUUCUGGACCACUCAGAACCAUUAUUGUGAGCCAGCAGGAGAGCUAUGUAGCAUCAUAUAGUUACCUAAAAGAGUUUUCAAGCUAUUUAAACUUUUCCUCCCAUAUACAUUCGAUUAUCUCAGAUAUAAACAUUUGGCAUGAAUACUGAAAGGAAGUAAAAUAGGUAAUGACCAUCUAUCUUGUGCCUGAACCUUUCUAUACUUAUGACUGAGUGUCUAUACAUUGCUUUGCAUGAAGGCCUGAGGGUAACUCCUCCUUUGACCUCCAAUACCGUGCUUAAUUUCAGUGACAUAUUUUUCCUACUGCUGACAGUCUUUUUGUUUUAUGAAUCAUUAACCCCAAGACAGCCAGAAGCCUGAAAUAAAGUGAAUGUGUAGGAGGGACCCUCUUGGGUAACAGUUGCUUCACAUUAAUUAUGCCAGUAAUUCUGGUCUUUCGGUGGAAAAACUUCAAUAGUCGAUGACCUACAAGUAUUAGAGCUAAUACUCCCACCCCUACCCUAAUCAUAGAGCAGGAAAACCUAAGUAGCCUAUGUACUGGACUGAAUAUCUUUUUGGACUUACAGAUCCACGGGCUUAGAACAUUUUCUAAAAAUUGCUUGGCCCCCAAAAUGCAUAGUUAGAUCCUUGAAUGUACUAUGACCCCCAUAUAAUAAAGGCUCAAAAUUCCCUGUCUAUAACCUUAUACAAAAGACCUUGGAGCCUUUCCAAAAUACCCAUCACAUCCAAAAUAAGACCUGCACUAGAUUUAGGCCAAAGUAAGCACCAUAUCUAACAUGUUAUCAGCAGCUAUAACCAUAAGGUUUAUUUGCCCUAUUUGAUAAUUUUCUGAUUGUUGAACCUGUGAUAAGUAUUUUAAUGCAUGUAUUUUCUUCCUACUUGAAGUUCCUGUUCUUUCUCAAAGAAAAGUGAAAACUAAAGCUAUUUCUGCACUUACAUUGCUGUUACAGAGUCUUCAUAUAUGCAAAUAAACCCUCAUUUGUACAUUUUGUUGGUGGUUUCUCUCACUCAUACUCUCUCUUUCUCUCUUAAUUAUUGGAAAUUUGAAAAUGAAUCAGCAACAAUGACUGCUGCACUUAAGGAAAUGUAUGAUCUGGUUUAUAAUUUAUGUAUUAGCUUCUGAAGGAAAUUUAGUACUUAGCUCCCAAUUUAUGAUGCAAGUAUGAGUAGCCACAUCUCUUAAUUUACAUCUGAUUCAACUUGCUCACUUUAUCCAAAUCUAAUGUCUAGAUUUAGUUCUCAUUCUACAUUCAUUUCACCAGCAGUUUAAUCCCUAAAUGUGGAGCUGCAGUAAAAUAUUUGUGUUUACCCAAAAUGCCUUCUUUCUAGUUUUGAAAUAAACCAUAGCCAGUGUCUUUGAUAUUCUUGAAACAUAUAACUGCUCCACCUGAUGGUAAAUAGCAUUAGACAAAGGAAUUAUUUUUCAGGGAACUAUGAUGGAGAGAAGGAAAGGGAGAAGAGGGCAGUCACACCAGAGAAGCAUUUUUUAAUCUGGCAAAUUAAUAAUCAACUAAAUGUUGUCAAACUUUUCUAAAGAUCAUUUUAUUCAUUUCUUAUCACCAUAUCAAAGCUGAACUUCACUGUCUGCCUUUCCAGAUUUGGCAUUUCCUUCCCAUUUAAUCAUAUCUUCCACUUUCCCCCAACACAAAGUAUCUGCCUCCUUGGGUUCCACACAAGCUCUUUACUCCCACCUCUUGAACUGUAUGAUUUGACCAUCUAGAAGGUGUGUGCAUGAUUGUAAAGAGUAAAAAGAACACUAGAGUAGGAGCUGAUAAGCCUGGGUUUUAUUCCUUUCUUGCUAAUAAGCUGGGUGACCUUAGCUAUGUUACUUAACCCCUCUAAACAUAUAGGACAAAUGUUAGCCUGGAAUGGUCUGAUUAUAUCACUUCUUAGAUCAUUCUCAAUACCUAAUUUACCAACCAAAGUAUCCUUUUAAUUCUAUAGUUCUUAUCAUCAUUUGAUGUAGUAUAUAUAUUUUUUUAACUUAUUUUCUCUUACACACCUCUAUCAGAAGGAAAGCUCUGUAUGGACAAAGUUUUUUCCCAUUUUGCCCACUGCUGUAUUCCCAGCAUUUAGAGAAGAUGCAUCAUAGCCACUAAGUAAGUGUUUUGUUGAAUGAGUUAUGCAUCAAAGAAUCACACAUAUUAUUCUUCCUUAAAUACACUCUGUAAAUCAAAUUUCCUCCAUUAGAUUCUGCUGACUAAGCCAAACCCAAAUCUUCCUUCCAUGCACUUCUAACUUCUAACACAAUUACUAUUAGGGUUAUACUGUUUGGCAAUUAAGAAUUCUUUGAAUAUUUCAGACAUAUCAGCACCAACCUUUUUUUUUCUUUAUAUGGCCACCACACCUGUGGCACAUGGAAGUUCCCAGGCUAUGGGGUUAAAUCGAAGCUGCAGCUGCCGACCUAUGCCAUAGCCACAGCAAUACUGGAUUCAAGCCACCUCUGUGACCUAUACCACAGCUUGCAGCAAUGUCAGCUCCUUAAUCCACUGAGCAAGGCCAGGGAUCAAACCCAUAUCCUGAAGGAGACUAUGUCGAGUCCUUAACCUGCUGAUCCACAAUGGGAACUCCAAAUCAGCACCAACUUUUUUUGUAGAGUGUAUACAUUUCUUAAGGCCAAGAACUAUGUCUAGUCUAUCAUAUAUUUGCUAGGUAUUUAAUUGACUGAAUUGAUGGAAAAUGUAAGCCCUGUGUUAGGAAACCAACUCAGGUUUUACUUAUCUGCACCUCUAUCUUCAAACCUCUACACCCAUUCUCUAGACAAGGUUCAUGAGGGUGAUAAAACCACCCAAGAUAUGUCUCUGAAAGCAGCAAAAGAGAAGUGCAAUCAAUAUUUCCUUCACCAAUCACUGUCCAUGAAAGCAUGUAAUAGUAUCUGCUGGUAAUGGAGAAACCAUAGGGGGCAGAGAGAAUUUGGGAGUAAGAAUCAGAAUAAAAAUAACUGGAAGGAUCUUUCAAAUAGGAGAAAGAGGAAGUAGAGGCCUUGAAUUUAAAUUCUACAGAUAGAAUAGAAUUGGAAUUUAUAGAGAUAGAAUAGAUUUUAGAGUUUAAAAAAAAAGCAUCUUAGACAUUGUCUCCUCGCUUACCUUUCAUUUGUCCGAAAUAUUGUGGAUUAGAGACGUGAAGUGACUUGCCUAAGUGCACACAGAUUAUUAGUGAAAGUGCAAUGAAACAUUGCUCAUCAGAAUCUAAUCUGGUAGAUGGAAUUUUCUCAUUACAAGUUUACAAGAAAUGCAUUUGAUUUGUAGCUAUGAUCAAAAUUCUCUCUAAAAUAUACCUACAAUGACAUACAAUAUACUGGGACAUUCUUACUUCUAAAUAUAGCCUGGUGAAAGUGAUUGAAUAUGCCUUUGAUAUUUUAGUGACUUAUUCCUGAGCAUCAACUAUAAUUAUAGCAUAUUAAAGAUCUGGGAGUUCCCAUUGUAGCUUAGCGGGUUACAAACCCAACUAGUAUCCAUGAGGAUUCAUGUUCAAUCCCUGGCCUCCCUCAGUGGGUUAAGGAUCCAGUGUUGCUAUGAGCUGUGGUGUAGGCUGGCAGCUACAGCUCCGAUUUGACCCUUAGCCUGGGAACUUCCAUAUGCUGCAGGUGUGACCAUAAAAAGAAAAAAGAAAAAAAAAUUAAAGAUCUGAAAAUUAUAAGAGCAAGAACUGAAUUUGCUAGGCUCUGACAAUAGAUUUUGGCAUAAUGGUUUUUAUAAUAAAUUGUCUUCUUUGGAUUUGCUUCUUUCUCCUAAAAGUUAAAUGCUAGAAAAAAACCCACUGAAAUAGAUGUAUUAAUUAGUUCAUUUCCAGUUCAUUAAUUCAUUUUAUAAUCACAGAACAGAAUUUCUAAAGUAUAAAUUAACUAUAUCAUUGCAGAAACUCUGAUCAUACUUUUAUGAAGAGGUGUUGGUGAGUUAGUGAAAUACAUCCAAAUUGACUAUGCUUUUAUUUCCAUUGCAAAACCAUACACAGAACAUUUGAUUUGGGAGGGAAUUUAAAGAGCACCUUGCCCUAUCCCCUCACUUACCCACGAGGGACCUAAAUCCAAAGAGGUUGAGUGAGAAGUUCAAAGCCGUACAGCCAGUUAGUAUCAUAAAAUCCCAGGGGUUACUUCAGGACUGUAACUAAAGGUAUCUCAGUCACUAGAAGAGGCAACUUCCUGCAGGCUAUCAGAAUCUUUCAGUUGCUGCAGGUCAAGGCCCACACAUACAGCUUCCUUGUGACUCUAUAGCCCUAUUUGUAAGACUGUACUUUUGGGUUUGUUUGUUUGUUUGUUUGUUUUUAGGGCCACAACCGGUGGAUAUGGGCAUAUGGAGGUUCCCAGGCUAGGGGUCGAAUCUGAGCUGUAGCCUCCGGCCUAAACCACAGCCACAGCAACGCCAGAUCCCAGCUGCGUCUGCAACCUACACCACAGCUCACAGCAACACCACAUCCUUAACCCACUGGGCAAGGCCAGAGAUAGAACCUGCCUCCUCAUGGAUGCUAGUCAGAUUCAUUUCCGCUGAGACACAAUGGGAACUCCUGAGAAUGUACUUCUUAAUUGCUGGGCAGUGUCUCUUUGACCCUAGAGAAAUCACCACGUGGUGCUCCUGAUGUCCUUCAAGUAAGUGUUCCAUCCUUUCUGUUAAGUGACCCACAGCAUGGAAGCCAUGCCUGAGAAAAGCUCAUUCUGUGCCCUAAUCAACUUUCCAAUGUGAUUCCUUUCUAGGGUACUAUGAUCAAUCCUGUCUGAAUUUCACUUUAAUUUGCUCAUUUUUUGAGAUUCAUAACUCACAGCACUCACUGCAAAAGACUGAGGGGACUACAGUUUCUGAAGGAUACCGAUGUUGCUACGCUAGUAAACUCUCAUGGGAGGCAUACAUUUUAAUAUUCCAGGUUAAAAUUUACCUUGUGGAAUGUACUGAUCAGUAAAAUAAUUUUGUUUUGCUUGUUUGUUUAAUUAACAUCACAAGCGCAGGAGACAAAUUAGUUGGGUUAGGGGUCAGAAGAGCUUCUAUAUCUAUUUCAGAGAACUAAUAGAGAUACUCCAAAAGCAAACACCUUAUAGCAUUUAGAAUGCACUAGAUACUCCUUCAAGAGUUUUACACUGUUGACUCAUUUACUCUUCAGAAAAACCCUAAUAGUUAGGUGUUAAUAUUACCCCAUCGCAUAAAUGAGAAACUCAGCACAAACACAGUAGGCAACUUGCCCAUUGUUGCACAGCUGGUAAGUGGCAAGGCCAGGAUAAUGAAUCCAGCAGUUCAUAUUUUAUCCACUACUCUACCUAACACAGGUCAUUUGAGAAGAGAAAUUAAACAACUUUUUGACCUCCAUUUUCUAACAUUUUGGGUUAAAGUAUUUGGGGAUCUGAGACAAUUACUUGGACAAUUGACCCAAUGGCUAAAGAUUCAACAAUGCAACCAUCUGACAAUUUUUUAAAUCAUAAUUCAGUUUACACUUGCAGAGUUUUACAAAAUGGAGUCAAAUGUAUGAGAAAAUUUCUAUACUACUUGACCUUGAUAAAUAAAAUAUGUCACUAGCUACCUACUAUGUGCCAGAUCUUGGAGCAAUGACCAUGAAUUAGUCAUGGCCCACCUCAACAUGCUGUCUUAUUGAUGAAGAUAAUAUUUGAAAAUAGAAAAAAUGCAACAUCACAGCCAAAGCAUGGCACAUAUCAAAUUAGGAGACUGACAGCAAAUGUAAAAAAAAAAAUCCUUCUAGGAGUUCCCAUUGUGGCUCAGUGGAUUAAGGAUUCGGCAUUUCUGUGAGCUGUGGUAUAGGGCACAAAUAUGGCGCAGAUCCUGCAUUGUUGCGGUUGUGGCAUAGGCCACAGGAUUUGACCCCUAGGAUGGGAACUUCUAAAAAAGAAGCAUAGAAGCAGCUCUGAAAAAAAAAAAUCCUUCUAGAAAUAAUAUGAGUUUUCAGCAUUCUAAACACUAAAAAAAAUACAAAAACCUCUUGGAAUAAUUCAGUUAGAAAAUUAUGAAAAGUUUCGCAUUUUCUAUUAUAACUGUGGUGCUAUUACCUUUCAAAUCUUAGUAUAAUCAAAUAAACAUUCUGCUAAUUAUACACUCUAAUUAAAAUACUUUGAUUAGGAUUUAAAAGGAUUUUGAUUCCAAAGGCCUUUACAAAUUCAUGGAAAUGCUGAGAAGGUCACCGUACUUCCCAUGGGAAGUAGAUAGAUAAAUAUAUCCAGUUUUGUUUAAAUUUCAAAGAACAGAGUAACACUAGCUAACACUUGGGGCACAUUUCGUUGAUUAUUCAAUGUAUCUCAGGAAUCUAUUUGACCCAUCACUGUUAAUUUCCUUCAAUUUAACAAACAUUUAAAUUUAUUAAAUAGCUUCUGAUCCUUAAAAAGAAUAAUAAUAAAUAAAUAAAAGGAUUUUUGAAUUGGAUAGCAGGUGAAUAUUUUCUUUGUUACUGAAUAGCAUCUUCUCUUAAAGCUUCAAUAUGUUUAAUGAUUAUAGUUUCCAUGUCCGCUUUUCUUUAAAAAAUAAUAAAGUAACAUAAGUCCCUUGACUGUAAUAGUAACAAGUUUUCAAAAUAAAACCAAAACAUCAGAAAUACCAGCAUUCUCUUUUUUUUUUUUUUUUUUUUUUUUUUUUUUUUUUUGGCCACACUCGUGGCUUAUAGAAGUUCCUGGGACAGGGAUCCAAUCCAAGCCUCAGCAGCAACCUACACCACAGCUGCAGCAAUACCUGAUCCUUACCCACUGUGCUGGGCUAGGGAUCAAACCCACACCUCUGCAGCAAUCCAAGCCACUUCAGUCAGAUCCUUAACCCAUUGUGCCACAGCAGGAACUCCAACACCAGCAUUCUCAACAAUUUCCUUCCCCCGUUAAUGUACAAUUUCUUGAUAUCCUCAUGCAUUAAAUGUGUAGACUAACUUUGUUUACAUCUCAAGUCGAUUUUCAGUUUAAAUUGUUUUAUUUUGUACAAUGGAUUAUUGAUUUUCUGUUGUUCUUCAGUAAAGUAUAAUUAGCGCAGUUAGUAGUCAUUUUCAUUCCCAAAUCAUUGUCACUGAAAUCUGUAAAAAUAGCAAAAAUCUCUAGGAGAAUUCAUCCGUUGUUAUGGACUGAAGGGAAAUACCCAGUCUGUGAUAUUUUGUUAUGGCAGCCCUAGAAAAUUCAUACACCUAUGGAGAGGCUUACUUUCCUCUCCCACAAAGCCAACCUCUUAAAGUCAGUGUUUCAAGAAUUCUGAUUUGAACGUGUUACCUCAUCUUCUACUUUCCUCUCCAUGUCAUUUUUUUCCUCCUCUUUUCUACUCAAUCAAGCCUAAUUUUAAAAUAUAAGUUAUAGCCCUGGUAUGAGGGUCAUUUCUGAAACACAUGCAAAAAUUCUGACAACUUUAUUUUCAGCAAGGACAAUAUACAAGGUGAGAGUGUCUAUCUAAAAUUAAAAACAUUUGAGGAGUUCCCGUCGUGGCUCAGUGGUUAACGAAUCCGACUAGGAACCAUGAGGUUGUGGGUUUGAUCCCUAGCUUGCUCAGUGGGUUGAAGAUCUGGCGUUGCCAUGAGCUGUGGUGUAGGUCGCAGAUGUGGCUCAGAUCCCAAGUUGCUGUGGCUAUGGAGUAGGCCAGCAGCUACAGCUCUGAUUAGACCCCUAGCCUGGGAACCUCCAUAUGCCAGGGGGAGCAGCCCAAGAAAUAGCAAAAAAAAAAAAAAAAAAUUAAGUUCUGGAGUUCCCGCUGUGGCUCAGUGGUUAACAAACCCAACUAGUAUCCCUGAGGACAUGGGUUCAAUCCCUGGCCUUGCUCGUGGGUUAAGGAUCCGGUGUUGCCAUGAGCUAUGGAGUAAGUCACAGACGCAGCUCUGAUCCUGUGUUGCUGUGGCUCUGGCGUAAGCCAGCAGCUGCAGUUCCAAUUAAACCCCUAGCCUAGGAACCUCCAUGUGC